UGCCCAGCAACUCCUAUCCCUACCUCCUCGUGGCACUAGCCGGGGUACGAGUAACCUUAGGGAAGACCGGGUAACCAACCCUUGGAACUUUGGUCGUAUGCUGACAGGGAAGG
rnacentral:ribozyme from 1 species